GAUGAACGCUGGCGGCGUGCCUAAUACAUGCAAGUCGAACGCACAGCGAAAGGUGCUUGCACCUUUCAAGUGAGUGGCGAACGGGUGAGUAACACGUGGACAACCUGCCUCAAGGCUGGGGAUAACAUUUGGAAACAGAUGCUAAUACCGAAUAAAACUUAGUGUCGCAUGACACAAAGUUAAAAGGCGCUUCGGCGUCACCUAGAGAUGGACCCGCGGUGCAUUAGUUAGGUGGUGGGGUAAAGGACUACCAAGACAAUGAUGCAUAGCCGAGUUGAGAGGCUGAUCGGCCACAUUGGGACUGAGACACGGCCCAAACUCCUACGGGAGGCUGCAGUAGGGAAUCUUCCACAAUGGGCGAAAGCCUGAUGGAGCAACGCCGCGUGUGUGAUGAAGGCUUUCGGGUCGUAAAGCACUGUUGUAUGGGAAGAACAGCUAGAAUAGGAAAUGAUUUUAGUUUGACGGUACCAUACCAGAAAGGGACGGCUAAAUACGUGCCAGCAGCCGCAGUAA
rnacentral:rRNA from 1 species